rnacentral:rRNA from 1 species
GAUCAACGCUGGCGGCGUGCCUAAUGCAUGCAAGUCGGACGGGGCGGGCUUCGGCCCGCCGUCCGUGGCGGACGGGUGCGGAACACGUGGGCAACCUGCCCCGGGGUGGGGGAUAGCCGCGGGAAACCGCGGGUAAUACCGCACGGGUCCGGGCCCCGGUGGGGGGUCCGGGCAAAGGCCUUCGGGCCGCCUUGGGAGGGGCCUGCGGCCGAUUAGCUGGACGGCGGGGUGACGGCCCACCGUGGCGAUGAUCGGUAGCUGGUCUGAGAGGACGGCCAGCCACACGGGGACUGAGACACGGCCCCGACUCCUACGGGAGGCAGCAGCAAGGAAUCUUCCGCAAUGGGCGCAAGCCUGACGGAGCAACGCCGCGUGCGGGAGGACGCCCUUCGGGGUGUAAACCGCUUUUCCCGGGGACGAAGCACUGACGGUACCCGGGGAAGAAGGACCGGCUAACUACGUGCCAGCAGCCGCAGUAAAAC